rnacentral:lncRNA from 1 species
UUUUAUUUUUUAAUUUUGUUAAGGAAGGAAAUAAUAAUAUUCAUUGAUGAAAUUGUAAUUUAAUGCUUUUAAAAGGCAACAUGUUCUUAAACAUUGUGGAUAAAUCUGCUAAAGACAGGAUUCACAGCUGACUAUAUAAUUAUUCAUUUGUGCCUUGGGAAACACGAGGAAUAACAUGCCUUUAUUCAUAAUCAAAGCAGAAGAAAUUUUUCCUUGAUUUUUCCUGAUUUUUCCUUUACCGGUCGCUGCAGGAUUGGUCCAGUUUCUCUCUGUUGCAUAUUGGUGUGAUAGUAAAGGAUGCAAAACUCCAAACUCCCAAGCCUUCAGCUAUUGAAAAGGCGAAAGGAAAAGGCCUCGGACAGCUGCUGGUCUCCAGGAAACACCACAAGCGGAGACCUACGGCCCCGCAUCCUAAUUACAUCCUUGGGGAGCAAGAGAGAAGACAGAGCCCUGAACACACACCAGUGGAGGCCGUAACGAGGCCCUGCAAAAGAUUUCAAAGUAAAUUCCCUGGAAGCCCAACAAGAGCCCACACUUCCCCCUGUAGUGCAUUCAUGGCGAGGAACCCAGAGAGGAGAAUCACCGUGACCCCAUCUUCAUCAGGAAAAAUAAAUACAUUUUCUUCCAUCUGAGCUGCAGUUCUGUGUGGAACCAUUUAAGCCUUUCCUGCCACCUCCAGACACUGAGGUUUGUAAUUGAAAUCCCGAAGAACAGAGCUGGCCAGCAGGCAAGCAAGAAACUGUCACCCCUUUGUAUCUGCUUUGAUUUUGGAUGAUUUAAGCAGCCAGCUGAUCUUUGCUUUUCAUUAAUAUUUAAUAAUUUUCCCUCCCCCCUGAGCUUGGCAAGGUGUUAUGAGA